rnacentral:rRNA from 1 species
AACGAGCGCUGGCGGCAGGCUUAACACAUGCAAGUCGAGCGCCCCGCAAGGGGAGCGGCAGACGGGUGAGUAACGCGUGGGAAUCUACCCAUCUCUACGGAAUAACGCAUGGAAACGUGUGCUAAUACCGUAUACGUCCUUCGGGAGAAAGAUUUAUCGGAGAUGGAUGAGCCCGCGUUGGAUUAGCUAGUUGGUGGGGUAAAGGCCUACCAAGGCGACGAUCCAUAGCUGGUCUGAGAGGAUGAUCAGCCACACUGGGACUGAGACUCGGCCCAGACUCCUACGGGAGGCAGCAGUGGGGAAUAUUGGACAAUGGGCGCAAGCCUGAUCCAACCAUGCCGCGUGAGUGAUGAAGGCCCUAGGGUUGUGAAGCUCUUUCACCGGUGAAGAUAAUGACGGUAACCGGAGAAGAAGCCCCGGCUAACUUCGUGCCAGCCGCCGCGGUAAUAC